GUCGCGGCGCUGCCUGUGGCGCCUCGGCUCCCGCCGCCUCACCUCGCUCGAUGUUGGCGAUGGCCCGCCGCAGGUGCUCCUCGGUCACCAGCUCACCGAUGACCACCAGUAGAUACCCUCAAGACUUGCCACAUGGAGAAAACUAGCUUCAGGCUUCUCCCGCUGCAAUACCUAGCUGUGGGAUGUGCCUUUAUUUCGAUCACCAACAAGAGCAGCUAGUCUCUGGAGCAUGGAAGAGGCUUGCCAAGGGAACUUGCCGACUGGUUGCAGCAUAGACUGAUAAUGGUUCCUGGACAUGAAGGUUUGCUUGGCCUUGGAAAGCUAUUUGAAAUACACGGGAAAAAAGGCACAGUGUUCCCAACGGUGUCCAGUCCUGGGACCCCUGCUGAUCAGCCUGUUGUCCCAUGGGUUUGCCUACUCUCCUCAAUGAGGUAGGAGUCAGCAGAUUUGUGAGGAGAUCACCCUUGUCUGCAAUCUCAGCUUGACACUUGCUCUGGUUCUCUGAGCCUCAUGCACAGGAUGAUGAAAAUGAUGAUGAUAAAACCUUGCUGUCGAUUCAAAACCCAAUUCUGCAACAGGAAGGUAACUGAGCUUUCAUUAAAAGCAAGCACUUGUGCGAAAUGAAGCAUGAAAGAUGUGAAAAGGUAAUGGGAGGGUCAUUAUCCUGGGGUGCAAGGACUCUAGACCUUGGGAGACGUUCCUCCUUUACAUGUUAGAAAUAUGGAGAUGCAUUUGUCAUCAGCACAGCCAGGGUCAAAUAGCAACAAAAAAACUAAUACAGUCCACUGUUUGCCUGGGCCUGGUGGGUGAUAGAGCACUUCACCAAGUGAGAGGGACUGAGGCUGAGACCUGGGAGGAAAGAAGCCAGGAAACCCAACUCCAUACAAGCGCAGAAAAUGCUGAAGUGAUAGCUCGCUCACAUGUUGUGGAAAGCAUGGGGUUACAGAGCUGUCACAUGAGUCACAGCAGCAAGGUUUGUCACUGCUCUUAUCCCCUGAGAAGACUGGAUGUGUAUCAUGAAGGUGAUCUCUGAAACAAACAUGCUAUUUUACACAAAAGCCUGCAUGUACAUCUAGAAAAAAAUCAAGGUGUCUCCAAGCUCCUCUCCAGCCUGCAUGUAAAUCUCACAAAUGCAUCUGUGCUCAAGUAAAGUAAGCAGAGGUGAUAAAUGUUUCAAUAAAUCACAUGGCUGACUUCUUUUUCAGCAUAUCCAUUUACGAACUGUAAACAUACCCCAGCAGGUAGUAAACCAACAAACCUUGCUAUGAGAUUAUUUAUUUCUAUUCUUCCAACAUGCUUACAGUGACAACAUAGAAAUCACAGAAGUAAUGUAGAUGACAUUUUCUGUUACUGCUUGCUUUGAAUAUUACUGUUAGCAGUAAUGUUCAAAGGCUAGAUUUUCAAAUCCAGCUUGCAUUACCUUGAUUCUGAUCCCACAGAAGAAAAUGAGGUCAGCUCUGAGAAAUACUGAGAAUCUCAGCCAUGAACACUAUUGUUCGUACCCAUAAAGUAUCUUCCCCUCUGAGAAGGCAAUAAGCCAUUCAAAUAUAAAUCACCUUAUGUCAGACUAACUCUGGCCCCUGCCCUAUGGAUGGGGCAAUACUCUCACAUCAGUGAGAGUAUUGCAGCUCAAACCAGGCACCACAGACUGCUUUGUGUUGACCCGGCUCCAAGGUUCUGUCUCAGAAAAACUCUGUGGCAGAGUCAGAUGCUAAAAUUGGCUUUCCUAAUUUCUGGAACACUGCUACAACCCCCAUUUUUAUGAGCUUUUCACCCAUUCUUCAGUAUUUACGUGUGGAUAUCAUGCUAAUUUAUGGUGUUUCUUUAUUAAGUGUGUCUGAAAAAAAGAUAGGUUUGUCACAGGUGCAGAACCAAAAUACUGUAUCAAACUGAAGAUGAAUUACUGAGAUCAUAAUCUUAUUCACAACUCAAUUUCCUCAGUUUAAAAGAAUUGUAAGAUCUACUUUGUUAACGCACUUUUUUCUUCUAAUUAAAACAUUAUGUAAAUUCAUUUUAUGUUGAGAAUGACAACAAUUUUGGUGAUGAUUUCUUGCCAAAAACUCACCCUGCAAGAACCCUUUUUCCUUUUCAAAGCUUUUGUCUUACUCUAUAUUAGAAUAUUAAUACAUCAAACCCAGGAUUGUCCUUCCAAAGGCAGAGCAUAAUUGUACUCCAUUUUAGUACCAGAACAUCAUUCAGCAACAAUGAAACUAAUUACCAAAAGAACA